rnacentral:rRNA from 1 species
AGAGCGAACGCUGGCGGCAUGCUUAACACAUGCAAGUCGCACGGGCAGGGGAAACCCUGUCAGUGGCGGACGGGUGAGUAACGCGUAGGUAUCUAUCCUUGGGUGGGGGACAACUGUGGGAAACUACAGCUAAUACCGCAUGAUGACCGAGGUCCAAAGGCCGCAAGGCCGCCUGGGGAGGAGCCUGCGUACGAUUAGCUAGUUGGUGGGGUAACUGCCUACCAAGGCGACGAUCGUUAGCUGGUCUGAGAGGAUGAUCAGCCACAUUGGGACUGAGACACGGCCCAAACUCCUACGGGAGGCAGCAGUGGGGAAUAUUGGACAAUGGGCGCAAGCCUGAUCCAGCAAUGCCGCGUGGGUGAAGAAGGUCUUCGGACUGUAAAGCCCUUUCGACGGGGACGAUGAUGACGGUACCCGUAGAAGAAGCCCCGGCUAACUUCGCGCCAGCAGCCGC